rnacentral:rRNA from 1 species
GACGAACGCUGGCGGCGUGCUUAACACAUGCAAGUCGAACGGAAAGGCCCUGCUUUUGUGGGGUUCUCGAGUGGCGAACGGGUGAGUAACACGUGAGUAACCUGCCCUUGACUUUGUGAUAACUUCAGGAAACUGGGGCUAAUACCGGAUAGGAGCUCCUGCUGCAUGGUGGUGGUUGGAAAGUUUCGGCGGUUGGGGAUGGACUCGCGGCUUAUCAGCUUGUUGGUGGGGUAGUGGCUUACCAAGGCUUUGACGGAUAGCCGGCCUGAGAGGGUGACCGGCGACAUUGGGACUGCGAUACGGAGCAGAAUGCUACGGGAGGCAGCAGGGGGGAGUAUUACACAGUGGGCGGAAGCCUGAUACGACAACGCCGCGUGCGGGAUGACGGCCUUCGGGUUGUAAACCGCUGUCGCCUGUGACGAAGCGUGAGUGACGGUAAUGGGUAAAGAAGCACCGGCUAACUACGUG